CAGCAGCCGCGGUAAUACGUAGGGUGCGAGCGUUAAUCGGAAUUACUGGGCGUAAAGCGUGCGCAGGCGGUUUUGUAAGACAGGCGUGAAAUCCCCGGGCUCAACCUGGGAAUGGCGCUUGUGACUGCAAAGCUAGAGUGCGGCAGAGGGGGAUGGAAUUCCGCGUGUAGCAGUGAAAUGCGUAGAUAUGCGGAGGAACACCGAUGGCGAAGGCAAUCCCCUGGGCCUGCACUGACGCUCAUGCACGAAAGCGUGGGGAGCAAACAGGAUAAGAGACCCGCGUAGUCCCUGUCUCUUAUAC
rnacentral:rRNA from 1 species